GAUGAAGAACGUAGCGAAAUGCGAUAAGUAGUGUGAAUUGCAGAAUUCAGUGAAUCAUCGAAUCUUUGAACGCACAUUGCGCCCUUUGGUAUUCCAAAGGGCAUGCCUGUUCGAGCGUCAUUUGUACCCUCAAGCUUUGCUUGGUGUUGGGCGUCUUGUCUCUAGCUUUGCUGGAGACUCGCCUUAAAGUAAUUGGCAGCCGGCCUACUGGUUUCGGAGCGCAGCACAAGUCGCACUCUCUAUCANNAAAGGUCUAGCAUCCAUUAAGCCUUUUUUUCAACUUUUGACCUCGGAUCAGGUAGGGAUACCCGCUGAACUUAAGCAUAUCAAUAAGCGGAGGA
rnacentral:misc_RNA from 1 species